rnacentral:lncRNA from 1 species
GUCAGUCUGCUCUGGAUUCAGGACUCUGCAGAACUGAUUCACAGCCCUCUCUGUUCCUGGCAUCCAUGGCCCAGACUGCUACAGCAAUGGGUUUAUUCCCCACCCCUUUACCCCCUUUUCAGUUGAUGUCCAACAGGUGCCACGUCAGUCCUCAACUCUUCCGUCUCUCAAUGCUUCCAUCUGCAUCCAGCUGAUAUUUCUUCUUGAAUCUAUGAAUUGGCUUCAUCACUCUGUUCUCCUCCCCACUAAUAGCUGGUAUGUGGUGAGUGUUCUGGUGCACUAUGGCUGCCGUCACAUCAUCCAGGUGGGUGCUGCACAUUGGUGGUGGUGAAGGGGAGUCCCCAUUACCUGUAAAGCGCUUUGAGUGGAGUGUCCAGAAAAACACUAGAUACUGUACUGUAAGUGGAAGGUAUUAUUAUUAUUUUUUUAACAAUUCAAAUCUCUGUUCUCCCUCUCAGGCAUAUGGUAGUGGUAUGAUUUUUCUGGACCUACUUAAGCACCAAACAGGACUGCUGAAGCCCAUUGGUGAAUAUAGCAGCUUUCCUUCACAGAAAAUCUCAGAAGGAAUCUUGGAAACUCUCAGCUGCAAAGUUGAUAUGGCGCAAAACAAACUAAUACUGUUCCAGUAAUCAGAGAAGCUCUGUGAAGGUAAUAAACAAUGUAAAAUCUGAC